rnacentral:rRNA from 1 species
AUGGAUGCAUCCAUGGCGCCAACGGAGGGUGACAAGCAGCCCGUGUUGCGCAUCCUCUUCUUCCCGUUCCUCCUCCCCGGCCACCUCAUCCCGAUGGCCGACAUGGCCGCGCUCUUCGCCGCCCGUGGCGUUAGGUGCACCAUCCUCACCACACCCUUGCAAGCUUCGACCAUCCGCUCCAUCGUCGACCGUGCCAACACUUCCCUGGGGUUUCUUCGGACGGUGGAGCUGCUCCGGGAGCCCUUCCGCCGCUUCCUAUCCGACCACCACGCCGAGGUCGACGCCGUCGUCUCCGACGGCCUAUUCCACUGGUCCGUGGAUGACGCCGCAGAGCAUGGAAUCCCGCGCAUCACGUUCCUCGGCACCAGCAUGUUCGCCUGUUCCUGCACCGAAGCCAUGCUCCGCAGCAACCCGUUUGAGGCGUGCUCCGACGACCCAGCCACCGUCGUCUCUCUGCCGGGGCUGCCGCACCGGGUGGUGGAGCUGCGGGAGCAGAUGAUGGACCCUGUGAAGCGGCCACAUGAGUGGGCAUUGUUCCAGCUCAUCCACGCCGCGGACCGGCGGAGCUAUGGAGAGCUCUUCAACAGCUUCCACGAGCUGGAGCCAGCCUACGCCGAGCACUACCGCGCCACACUCCAUCGCCGAGCUUGGCUUGUCGGCCCGGUUGCGCUCGCAAGCGGCAGCGGUAAGGACGUGACGUCAAGAGGCGCCGUUGCGGGUGCGCUCUCACCGGAGUCCAUCGGGUGCCUGCGCUGGCUCGACGAGAAGCCGGCCAGCUCAGUGUUGUACGUCUCCUUCGGCACUACGACAAUCUUCUCGCCAGAGCAGAUGCGGGAGCUCGCACGCGGCCUUGACCUCUCGGGCAAAAAUUUUGUGUGGGUCAUCGCCAAUGGAAGUGCAUCAACGGAUCUGUGUAUGCCACACGGGUUCCCGAUGGCGCACCGCGGGUACAUCGUCCGGGGCUGGGCGCCGCAGGUGCUCAUCUUGAACCACCCUGCCGUUGGUGGUUACAUGACGCACUGCGGGUGGAACUCCACGCUGGAGGCUGUGAGCGCCGGCGUGCCGAUGGUGACGUGGCCGCGGUACGCCGACCAGUUUCACAACGAGAAGCUCGUCGUGGAGGUGCUUGAGGUGGGCGUCGGCGUCGGUGCCGAGGACUACGCAACAUGGAUUGAGACCCACCGGGUUAUCACCGGCCAGGUGAUCGCCGAAUCCAUCCGGAAAGUGAUGAAGGAGGGCGACGGCGUCACGAUACGAAAGAAAGCUGAUGAGCUCCGCGACAAGGCGAGGGCCGCGGUGGAGAAGGGUGGGUCGUCGUACGACGAUGUUGGGCAGCUCAUGGAGGAAUUGAUCGCCCGCCGGUGCUGUAGACGUACGGCGGGUGAAUAA